rnacentral:rRNA from 1 species
GAUGAACGCUGGCGGUGUGCCUAAUACAUGCAAGUCGAGCGGACAGACGAGGAGCUUGCUCCUCUGACGUUAGCGGCGGACGGGUGAGUAACACGUGGAUAACCUACCUAUAAGACUGGGAUAACUUCGGGAAACCGGAGCUAAUACCGGAUAAUAUAUUGAACCGCAUGGUUCAAUAGUGAAAGACGGUUUUGCUGUCACUUAUAGAUGGAUCCGCGCCGCAUUAGCUAGUUGGUAAGGUAACGGCUUACCAAGGCGACGAUGCGUAGCCGACCUGAGAGGGUGAUCGGCCACACUGGAACUGAGACACGGUCCAGACUCCUACGGGAGGCAGCAGUAGGGAAUCUUCCGCAAUGGGCGAAAGCCUGACGGAGCAACGCCGCGUGAGUGAUGAAGGUCUUCGGAUCGUAAAACUCUGUUAUUAGGGAAGAACAAAUGUGUAAGUAACUAUGCACGUCUUGACGGUACCUAAUCAGAAAGCCACGGCUAACUACGUG